rnacentral:rRNA from 1 species
CCUACGGGAGGCAGCAGUGGGGAAUAUUGCACAAUGGGGGAAACCCUGAUGCAGCGACGCCGCGUGAGUGAAGAAGUAUUUCGGUAUGUAAAGCUCUAUCAGCAGGGAAGAAGAUAGACGGUACCUGACUAAGAAGCCCCGGCUACCUACGUGCCAGCAGCCGCGGUAUUACGUAGGGGGCAAGCGUUAUCCGGAUUUACUGGGUGUAAAGGGAGCGUAGACGGCUGUGCAGGUCUGAAGUGAAAGCCCAGGGUUCAACCCUGGGACUGCUUUGGAAACUGUGGAGCUAGAGUGCUGGAGAGGUAAGUGGAAUUCCUGGUGUAGCGGUGAAAUGCGUAGAUAUUAGGAGGAACACCAGUGGCGAAGGCGGCUUACUGGACAGUAACUGACGUUGAGGCUCGAAAGCGUGGGGAGCAAACAGGAUUAGAUACCCUUGUAGUC